rnacentral:lncRNA from 1 species
GAAUCGGGUUAAAAUUCGUGCAAUAUUAUUAAUAAUAUGUCCUAUUAAAUCUCCUUUACUAAUACUACACAGACUUUGAAGGCUUCGUUUGGUUCGGUUAUAAAUAAGAACUGUUUAUUUCAGAGAUAAAUACAAAUUCAGGUAAAAAUAAGAAUCAGACCAAUUUUGUGUUUUGAUGAAAAUUAAAUUGUUUAUGGAAAUAAGAAAAAUAACGUUUGAAUCGAUAAGAUAAAAU